UUCCCCUUCGGGGGACAGGGUGACAGGUGGUGCAUGGUUGUCGUCAGCUCGUGUCGUGAGAUGUUGGGUUAAGUCCCGCAACGAGCGCAACCCUUAUCUUUAAUUGCCAGCAUUCAGUUGGGCACUUUAAAGAGACUGCCGGUGUUAAACCGGAGGAAGGUGGGGAUGACGUCAAGUCCUCAUGGCCUUUAUGCUUAGGGCUACACACGUGCUACAAUGGGUGGUACAAAGAGAAGCCAACUCGCGAGAGCGCGCCAAUCUCAAAAAGCCAUCCUCAGUUCGGAUUGGAGUCUGCAACUCGACUCCAUGAAGGCGGAAUCGCUAGUAACCGCGAAUCAGCAGGUCGCGGUGAAUACGUUCCCGGGCCUU
rnacentral:rRNA from 1 species